GGCGCACGGGUGCGUAACGCGUGGGAAUCUGCCCUUUGCUUCGGAAUAACAGUUAGAAAUGACUGCUAAUACCGGAUGAUGUCUUCGGACCAAAGAUUUAUCGGCAAGGGAUGAGCCCGCGUACGAUUAGGUAGUUGGUGGGGUAAAGGCCUACCAAGCCGACGAUCCUUAACUGGUCUGAGAGGAUGAUCACCCACACUGGGACUGAAACACGGCCCACACUCCUACGGGAGGCAGCAGUGGGGAAUAUUGGACAAUGGGCGCAAGCCUGAUCCAUCAAUGCCGCGUGAGUGAUGAAGGCCUUCGGGUCGUAAAGCUCUUUUACCAGGGAUGAUAAUGACAGUACCUGGAGAAUAAGCUCCGGCUAACUCCGUGCCAGCAGCCGCGGUAAUACGGAGGGAGCUAGCGUUGUUCGGAAUUACUGGGCGUAAAGCGCGCGUAGGCGGCGACGCAAGUCAGAG
rnacentral:rRNA from 1 species